CAGUUCGGAUUGGAGUCUGCAACUCGACUCCAUGAAGCUGGAUUCGCUAGUAAUCGCGCAUCAGCCAUGGCGCGGUGAAUACGUUCCCGGGCCUUGUACACACCGCCCGUCAAGCCAUGGGAGUCGGGAGUGCCUGAAGUCAGUAGUCCAACCGCAAGGAGGGCGCUGCCGAAGGUAGGAUUGGCGACUGGGGUGAAGUCGUAACAAGGUAGC
rnacentral:rRNA from 1 species